CCUACGGGCGGCAGCAGUGAGGAAUAUUGGUCAAUGGACGAGAGUCUGAACCAGCCAAGUAGCGUGAAGGAUGACUGCCCUAUGGGUUGUAAACUUCUUUUAUAUGGGAAUAAAACGUUCCACGUGUGGGAUUUUGUAUGUACCAUAUGAAUAAGGAUCGGCUAACUCCGUGCCAGCAGCCGCGGUAAUACGGAGGAUCCGAGCGUUAUCCGGAUUUAUUGGGGUUAAAGGGAGCGUAGGUGGAUUGUUAAGUCAGUUGUGAAAGUUUGCCGCUCAACCGUAAAAUUGCAGUUGAAACUGGCAGUCUUGAGUACAGUAGAGGUGGGCAGAAUUCGUGGUGUAGCGGUGAAAUGCUGAGAUAUCACGAAGAACUCCGAUUGCGAAGGCAGUUCACUGGACUGCAACUGACACUGAGGCUCGAAAGUGUGGGUAUCAAACAGGAUUAGAUACCCGAGUAGUC
rnacentral:rRNA from 1 species